GCGUCUGAUUAGCUAGUUGGUAAGGUAACGGCUUACCAAGGCGACGAUCAGUAGCCGACCUGAGAGGGUGAUCGGCCACAUUGGAACUGAGACACGGUCCAAACUCCUACGGGAGGCAGCAGUGGGGAAUAUUGCACAAUGGGCGAAAGCCUGAUGCAGCAACGCCGCGUGAGCGAUGAAGGCCUUCGGGUCGUAAAGCUCUGUCCUCAAGGAAGAUAAUGACGGUACUUGAGGAGGAAGCCCCGGCUAACUACGUGCCAGCAGCCGCGGUAAUACGUAGGGGGCUAGCGUUAUCCGGAAUUACUGGGCGUAAAGGGUGCGUAGGUGGUUUCUUAAGUCAGAGGUGAAAGGCUACGGCUCAACCGUAGUAGCCUUUGAAACUGGGAAACUUGAGUGCAGGAGAGGAGAGUGGAAUUCCUAGUGUAGCGGUGAAAUGCGUAGAUAUUAGGAGGAACACCAGUUGCGAAGGCGGCUCUCUGGACUGUAACUGACACUGAGGCACGAAAGCGUGGGGAGCAAACAGGAUUAGAUACCCUGGUAGUCCACGCCGUAAACGAUGAGUACUAGCUGUCGGAGGUUACCCCCUUCGGUGGCGCAGCUAACGCAUUAAGUACUCCGCCUGGGAAGUACGCUCGCAAGAGUGAAACUCAAAGGAAUUGACGG
rnacentral:rRNA from 1 species